UAACAGGAUUAGAUACCCUGGUAGUCCACUCCGUAAACGAUGUCUACUUGGAGGUUGUGGCCUUGAGCCGUGGCUUUCGGAGCUAACGCGUUAAGUAGACCGCCUGGGGAGUACGGUCGCAAGAUUAAAACUCAAAUGAAUUGACGGGGGCCCGCACAAGCGGUGGAGCAUGUGGUUUAAUUCGAUGCAACGCGAAGAACCUUACCUACUCUUGACAUCCAGAGAAGCCAGCGGAGACGCAGGUGUGCCUUCGGGAACUCUGAGACAGGUGCUGCAUGGCUGUCGUCAGCUCGUGUUGUGAAAUGUUGGGUUAAGUCCCGCAACGAGCGCAACCCUUAUCCUUGUUUGCCAGCGAGUCAUGUCGGGAACUCCAGGGAGACUGCCGGUGAUAAACCGGAGGAAGGUGGGGAUGACGUA
rnacentral:rRNA from 1 species